GGAGGACAUUGUACUCAGUGAAGUUAGCCAGUCACAGACUGACAAGUACUGCACGAUUCCACUUAUGGAUUAUCUGAUUGUUGAGGAGUUACCAAUAAAUGAAAAAAGAAAUUUCCACUCACAUGGAAUUGGGGGAGUGAAUAAAAAAACACAGUGGCUGUUAGCUCUAAAUGAACUCAUUUAUUUUGAAAGCAUGAUUUAAAGUAUCGUUUUAAACUAUAAGCAUUUCAGAAGUGAUGACCCAUGACUCAAAUCUCAAAAAUAAAUGCUACAGUUCACAGUUGGAAUUUGGACACAAGAAAAAUAAUAG